AACGAACGCUGGCGGCAGGCUUAACACAUGCAAGUCGAGCGGGCCCUUCGGGGUCAGCGGCGAACGGGUGAGUAACGCGUGGGAGCGUGCCCUUUUCUCUGGAAUAGCCUCGGGAAACUGAGAUUAAUGCCGGAUACGCCCUUUUGGGGAAAGAUUUAUCGGGGAAGGAUCGGCCCGCGUUGGAUUAGGUAGUUGGUGGGGUAACGGCCUACCAAGCCGACGAUCCAUAGCUGGUUUGAGAGGAUGAUCAGCCACACUGGGACUGAGAUACGGCCCAGACUCCUACGGGAGGCAGCAGUAAGGAAUAUUCCACAAUGGGGGAAACCCUGAUGGAGCAAUGCCGCGUGCAGGAAGACGCGUUUCGGCGUGUAAACUGCUUUUAAACGGGAAGAUUAUGACGGUACCGUUAGAAUAAGGACCGGCUAAUUACGUGCCAGCCGCCGCGGUAA
rnacentral:rRNA from 1 species